rnacentral:lncRNA from 1 species
CAGCUCCAGAGCAGCAGCAAAGGGAAGCAGCGUCCUCGCCAAUACCUGGGCUGUCCUUCAAGGCUCAGUGCAAGGAAAAACACCUGGGUUGGACAUCAGAUAAGGAAAUUGAGACUCAAAGAGGACCCCCAUGGAGAAAGUAAUGAAGCUUGAAUUUAGACCCAAGAUCAUGUCCCUUUCACUUCCUCAGCCUGCCCAGGAAGUUUAUAGCGUGCUCAUGCCACAAACCCUGGAGCUGGAUACGCGCUCAAUUGGCUUGAAGACCUUGGGACUUGAAUUGAAACAUCAGCUCUUCCUGGGUCUCAAGUUUGCUGGCCUUUGGACUAGAACCAAACCAUUGACUCUCCUGGGUGUUCGGCCUGCCUAACUUACCCUGGGACUUGCCAGCCCUGUAAACAUUGCUGACUUCCAGACCACUGAGGUCACCUGCAUAAGCGAGUCUGGCAACAAAUAAUCGUCUUCCAGAAAAUGACCAGAAACUCAGCCUGCUUUUUGUCAUUUCACCAGCCCCACCAUCUUUCCUUUAUUCUAGAGCUCCUGGCACACUUACAUGAAUCUCUUGAAAGAAGAGAAAUGAGAGCAUUCAUUCCAUACUAAUACAAUUGUGCCCUAUGGAAAGGCUUUUUGCUGGCAGACAUAGUAGACGGACCAUUUCCCAACUUCUUUUUCUUUGCCACCUUCCAGCCAAAGGUGUCCAUAUGACACAGCUCUGGACAGGAUAAUUGGAAGUCUGUUGUGGGAUUUCUGAGAAAGCUUUUGAUUUUCUGACAGAGACAUUUUUGCUUCCCCUUACCACUUCCUACUGGAUUACAGAUGUGAUGGAAAGAGCUGCAGCAGCCAUAAUACAACCAUAAAGGAGAGGAGAAGAGAAUUGCAAAGGCAUCAACCCACAUUGAAUUGAACUGCUAAGUUAACACUAGCAGUUACUUGCCUCCAGAUAUCUUGGUGUGUGAGAACAUUAAAUCUGUAUGUGUCUAAAUCAGUAUGGGUGAACA